AUUUCCGAUGAAGAUGACUUAUGGUUUACUGGAUGGCAUGGUUCUCCACUGCCCCCCACGACAACACGACUCAACAGAGGAAGCAAACAUGCUGACAGUGCCUCAACAUAUGUUGGCCCAACCAGGAGUACCACAGCAUGGACUAAAUAUUACUG